rnacentral:rRNA from 1 species
AUUGAACGCUGGCGGCAUGCCUUACACAUGCAAGUCGAACGGCAGCGGGGGAGAAGCUUGCUUUUCCUGCCGGCGAGUGGCGAACGGGUGAGUAAUACAUCGGAACGUGCCCUGUAGUGGGGGAUAACUAGUCGAAAGAUUAGCUAAUACCGCAUACGACCUGAGGGUGAAAGUGGGGGACCGCAAGGCCUCAUGCUAUAGGGGCGGCCGAUGUCUGAUUAGCUAGUUGGUGGGGUAAAGGCCUACCAAGGCGACGAUCAGUAGCUGGUCUGAGAGGACGAUCAGCCACACUGGGACUGAGACACGGCCCAGACUCCUACGGGAGGCAGCAGUGAGGAAUAUUGCACAAUGGGCGAAAGCCUGAUGCAGCGACGCCGCGUGGAGGAUGAAGGUCUUCGGAUCGUAAACUCCUGUUAAGUGAGAAGAAAGAACCACUUUUAAUAGAGGUGGGUGAUGACGUUAUCACUAGAGAAAGCACCGGCUAACUUCGUGCCAGCAGCCGCCGUAA